AGAGAUGAGAAAACAGAGGCUUGGGUCACCCUGGGAGUACUUGGCAGUGCUGGAACCCAGAAACUGAAAUCAAGAUUUAGUUCUUAAAAUCAGUCAGCAGUGGGUGUUCAUGAUUCUUUCCUCUUCGACAUGAUGAAAGAUUCUGAAAUCUUCCCAGUUAGUCAACCCUCCUACAUACCUCUUUCAAGGCUCGUCUCACUGUGUUGCGGACUCAUUCACCUGCCACCUACCCUACCUGUCUGUGAGCUCCUGAAGAAAGGCACCCACUCACCUCCUGUGAUGGCUUGAAGCUGUAUGCACCCCAGAAAAGAUCAUGUUCUUAAAGCUAAUCCAUUCCUGUGG